CUAACAUGAGCAUUUUUCAUUAUUUUUAGGCCUAUUAUGAAGUUUGGACUCCAGACCUUUCUGGAUCUGCGAACACACAGGGAACAACUCGCCACAGCAUUGCUAUCGACCUCUGAGGAACAGCUCAUGUCAUCACUCCGCAAAAGUGCUGGCGAAACAUUUAUCUAGAUGAAAGACCUCAAGCAGUUAACCUGCUCAGCAGAGGCAAUGCAACCAGGCAACAGGAUAAUGACCUCUAUCCAAAUGUGGAAGGUACAUCAAUUUAAUACCUUGACAGCUCGACAAAAGAUGAUGGCAGCUCAGCAGGAAAACAUUAGCCAUGAUAACGCAGGGUACUGUAUGUGAAAAGAAUGAAUUAUAAAGCACAAUGCUAUUUGGGCCGAGUAGGGAUUUUUUUUUUAAACCAACUUUAUAUUUAGGACGGUAGCCAUGCCUAAAGCCUCCUUCCAUUCUUUUCUACCUGAAGAAUAUCCUGAUAAAAGUAAAGAGGCAGUGUGGAUUAAAUUGACAGCUUAAAUACAAAAGGAGUUUCCUAACUUACCCAGGAAAUGCUGCACAUCAUUUCUGGCAGGCUUGUUACUAUUUCAGAGUAGAAAGCCCUCGGCAUUGGCAAACUGGCUUAAUCCACUAGACAACUGGUAAUUCAAGUAAGUGUGGACACAACCAGUCUUACUGUGUGUGUUAUUUUGUUUUAUUUUUAAAGGGAGAAGGUACUUGAUGCACUUGGGAUCCUUCAGAUCUUUAGCUGUAACUUGUCUCUAUUGCAAUUCAUUUAAAAAAAAAUAAUUUUAAAGUAGUAGUAGUAUGAUCAUGGGUGUAUGUUUAUCCAAGGACCUUUCCUCUGUGACAGGGUUUCAGCCUGUGAGGUUUUCUCUACACAUGGCAGGCAGCUGUCAGAACCAGUGUGAGGGGUGAAAGGGCAGCCCGGCUGCUCUGUUAAAUCACCGGGUUCCAUCAACAUCUCAGAAUUCCUGCCGAGUGGGAGCUGGGAGACCACAGAUUAGAGUACACUGGAGUGUGUAUAUUAGGUCACUCAGUGUCUAUCAAAGCAAUAUCAUGCCGGUGAGCUGUACAAUAGAUUUUACUGUGUUCUGUUCAAAGAAAAUGUAAGGAAAGUGGACAUGUGUGUAGCAGACCACAACCGAACACUGAAUUCUCCUUGUCUUUAAAUGGACGGAUUUAUUAUCCACAAGAUGAACGAAGAACAGGAGCACAAUAAAUAGCUUUGGAAAACAUGUAAGGCUGGUGGUUUUAUGCUGUUCUUGGAAAUAACUGGUGAGCAGAUGCAGCGAAUAGAGCCCAGGGCCCUGCAGUGGAGGGGAAGAGAGCCUGAUCACGACUGUAGUCUCGGACCAUGAACAUGGACAGUCACUGCACCUCAGUCUCACAGAACUUCCAUGUCCUCAUUAAUAAAUUAGAAAUAAUAUCUGCCUCCUCUAUCACCAUAGACAGGUAAAUAAAAAAUGAAUUC
rnacentral:lncRNA from 1 species